AUUGAACGCUGGCGGCAGGCCUAACACAUGCAAGUCGAGCGGAUGAAGGGAGCUUGCUCCUGGAUUCAGCGGCGGACGGGUGAGUAAUGCCUAGGAAUCUGCCUGGUAGUGGGGGAUAACGUCCGGAAACGGGCGCUAAUACCGCAUACGUCCUGAGGGAGAAAGUGGGGGAUCUUCGGACCUCACGCUAUCAGAUGAGCCUAGGUCGGAUUAGCUAGUCGGUGGGGUAAAGGCCUACCAAGGCGACGAUCCGUAACUGGUCUGAGAGGAUGAUCAGUCACACUGGAACUGAGACACGGUCCAGACUCCUACGGGAGGCAGCAGUGGGGAAUAUUGGACAAUGGGCGAAAGCCUGAUCCAGCCAUGCCGCGUGUGUGAAGAAGGUCUUCGGAUUGUAAAGCACUUUAAGUUGGGAGGAAGGGCAGUAAGUUAAUACCUUGCUGUCUUGACGUUACCAACAGAAUAAGCACCGGCUAACUUCGUG
rnacentral:rRNA from 1 species